rnacentral:rRNA from 1 species
CCCUUAGAUGUCCUGGGCCGCACGCGCGCUACGCUGACAUGUUCAACAAGCCUCCUAGUUCGACAGGAUUUGGGAAAUCUUUGAACGCAUGUCGUGAUAGGGAUAGAUCAUUGCAAUUAUUAAUCUUCAACGAGGAAUGCCUAGUAGGCGCAAGUCAUCAGCUUGCGUCGAUUACGUCCCUGCCCUUUGUACACACCGCCCGUCGCUCCUACCGAUUGGGUGUGCUGGUGAAAUGUUCGGAUCGGCCGUUUGUCGCGGUUUCCGCGGCUCGUGGCUGAGAAGUUCAUUAAACCCUCCCACCUAGAGGAAGGAGAAGUCGUAACA